UGUGCAAAUCGCCCUUUACAGAAGAAGAUCUUCCUGUCAGUGACUGACAAGAGGUGCCAAGAGCAGGCUAGGAGACUUUCAAAACCCGCGAGUUGGCAAAUCAGCAGGUUCUUAACUUUUCUAGGAAGUGGUAAUGUUUCUGUGAACUGAAAAUUAGAGCUGGAACUCUUCCAUACCUUCAGAUGCCACAUGCAGUUCUCCCAGGUAUCUGAAAAAAGGGAAAAAUGAACCUCUGUUGGAUUUGACCUUGCAAGAUGAAUUUAAAGACAUGCACCCAUAACAAGGCUCUUGUUUUGUGGAUCUGUGAAGCUGCUGAUGCUUAACACUUUCUCCAGACAGAUGAAGUCUUAGCAGUGAAUGCAGUGCUCGUACCUGGAGGACAGGCCUGGAAAUACCCAGCGGACCAUGAUCAGCAGAGACUAAUGGCCCAUUUCUUCCAGUUUCUCUUGCAAUGCCAGAAAAUCCUUGCCGAGUUCGUAU